rnacentral:rRNA from 1 species
UCGAUUCCGGAGAGGGAGCCUGAGAAACGGCUACCACAUCCAAGGAAGGCAGCAGGCGCGCAAAUUACCCAAUCCCGACACGGGGAGGUAGUGACAAUAAAUAACAAUACGGGGUUCUUUCGGAUCUCGUAAUUGGAAUGAGUACAAUUUAAAUCUCUUAACGAGGAACAAUUGGAGGGCAAGUCUGGUGCCAGCAGCCGCGGUAAUUCCAGCUCCAAUAGCGUAUAUUAAAGUUGUUGCAGUUAAAAAGCUCGUAGUUGAAUUUCGGGGUUAGUAGGUUGGUCAUGCCUCUGGUAUGUACUGAUCUCACUGAUUCCUCCUUCCUGAUGAACCGUAAUGCCAUUAAUUUGGUGUUGCGGGGAAUUUGGACUGUUACUUUGAAAAAAUUAGAGUGUUUAAAGCAAGCUAACGCUUGAAUACAUUAGCAUGGAAUAAUGAAGUAGGACGUUCGAUCCUAUUUUGUUGGUUUCUAGGAUUGACGUAAUGAUUAAUAGGGAUAGUUGGGGGCAUUAGUAUUCAAUUGUCAGAGGUGAAAUUCUUGGAUUUAUUGAAGACUAACUACUGCGAAAGCAUUUGCCAAGGAUGUUUUCAUUAAUCAAGAACGAAAGUUAGGGGAUCGAAGACGAUCAGAUACCGUCGUAGUCUUAACCAUAGACUAUGCCGACUAGGGAUCGGAUGAUGUUAAUUUUUUAAUGACUCAUUCGGCGCCUUACGG